rnacentral:lncRNA from 1 species
GUCUACUUAUUUAUUUAUUUAUUUAAAGAUUUUAUUGAUUUAUUUGACAGAAAGAGAGAGCAGCAGAGGGAGAAGCAGACUCCCCACUGAGCAGGGAGCCCGAUGUGAGACUCAGUCCCAGGAUUCUGGGAUCAUGAUCUGAUCCAAAGGCAGAUGCUUAACCUACUGAGCCACCCAGGUGCCCACACCAGACAGAGAUCACAAGUAGGCAGAGCAGCAGGCAGAGAGAGAGGAGGAAGCAGGCUCCCUGCCCAACAGAGAGCCCAAUGCGGAGCUCCAUCUCAGGACCCUAGGAUCAUGACCUGACCCGAAGGCAGAGGCUUUAACCCACUGAGCCACCCAGGCACCCUGGUAAGUUCUUUAUAUACUU